rnacentral:rRNA from 1 species
CCUACGGGAGGCAGCAGUGAGGAAUAUUGGUCAAUGGGAGAGAUCCUGAACCAGCCAAGCCGCGUGCGGGAAGACGGCCCUAUGGGUUGUAAACCUCUUUUGUCGGAGAACAAAACCCGGGACGUGUCCCGGACUGCGUGUAUCCGAAGAAAAAGCAUCGGCUAACUCCGUGCCAGCAGCCGCGGUAAUACGGAGGAUGCGAGCGUUAUCCGGAUUUAUUGGGUUUAAAGGGUGCGUAGGCGGUCCGGUAAGUCAGCGGGAAAAUUGCGGGGCUCAACCCCGGCGAGCCGUUGAAACUGGCAGACUUGAGUUGGCGAGAAGUACGCGGAAUGCGCGGUGUAGCGGUGAAAUGCAUAGAUAUCGCGCAGAACUCCGAUUGCGAAGGCAGCGUACCGGCGCCAGACUGACGCUGAGGCACGAGAGCGUGGGGAUCGAACAGGAUUAGAUACCCGGGUAGUC